GGGGUUCACGUGCACGUGUGCACUUAUGGAGAAACCGCCACUGGUUUGUAUGUGUGUCAAAAAGUUACACCGAUCUGAAUUUUUUUCUAUUUUUCAAGAAGGGAUCAGGGCUGAUUAAGAACCAGUGUAUCUUGUGAUUUUUCACCACCCAUAAGCCAGCUAUAGGACUGGGUAGGUACAACACGGCAUAUUUUUUGGGGGUAUGUAUCUUAGGUUCCAAGAGAGAAAGGAAACCGCAAAUACAAAAAUACAAUAGCGCUUGAGUUAAGCUUUCAAAUGGUGUUUAAGCGGUCAGGAUUGAACAUACACCAGGCUCGGUAUAAUCAAAAAACUGAAAAAUUGAACUUUAAAAAAAUUUUGUUUUUCUAAAAUUAAUCAAAAUUUCAACCUACGAAACGCGCCAAUAGCUCAGCGUUUGUAGAACUCUAGAUGCAGUGUAUUGUAUACCUCGCGUCUGGAGAAAAUUUUUCCAGAAUUUUUAAGUAAUAGGCCCCAUAAGUAUGAUCAAAUCUAUUUCUUAGGGAGAUAAAGAGUUUUUUAAGCUCACUAAAUCCUAUAAUACCUUCAGUUAUCACAUUUAACAUUGGAUACAUCAGAUACUACUUAUAAAUACCUUUCAAACACAUGUUUGGUGAUCAAAAUCGGUUAAGCCGUUUAGAAGUUAUCGAGCUCCAAAUGUAUAAUCUAUUUAACCAUUAUCGCCGAAAUUGUCUAGUUGUAUUGUAGUGGUUACGACACUAAAUUUGAUCGGGCAAUCAGAUUUCAUUUGCCAGCCAUCCCAAUAUUUUGUGUGCGCCACUUAUUUUUAUGGCGUUCAGCGGCUUUUUUGGCUUAAUAUUAUAUGUACACAUAAGAAAUAAUCAAUGAUAAUUUUAAACCGCUUUAGAUAAAUCACUUGACUAGUAGCUAUUUAAACAUUCUGUUCAUGAUUAUUAUGCAAUACUGCACAACUUUCAACACACUUCAACAUAUUUAGUACUAACAAUAUAAAUGUCACAAUCUAUGUAUAUCGAACCCGUCUCUUCAUGAACAGCACAAAUCUAGUACUAUUAGGAAGUAAAUCAUAAGCAAUUUUAAUAAUAAAUGUGUCCUUUGAACGAAGACUAGACUUUUACAUCUACUUUAACUGUAAUUUUUUCUAGUCCUAGAUGUUAAGAGAUUUCUGACCAGUAUGUUAGCAAAAUAAAAUAAUUAUUAGAGGCUCUCAAAAAAUGAAGGUACUGAACACCACCAAAAAUCUCGAAAGUUAAAACACUUUGAAAACAUUAUGUAAGAUUAAUCCAGAUAUAGAUUCAUUUCUAUGGCUAUAAGCAAUCCUUCAAUAAAAAUAUUUGGAAUGCGAGGUCUAGGAAAAAGAAAUUCCGGUUAAAUAACCUGAAAACCUUGUUCAACAUAACAUCUGUGCAGCUUUUUGGCGUUGGUGCAGACAAGAUAAAGAUUGCCAUGAUGAUCGCCCACAUUCGUCACGGAUAGACAUAUGAAGAAAAAUAGACUUACACCAGAAUAUCUUGGACCCAUAAUCAUAGGGUAGGAGCAAAAUAUGACGUUAUUCGGCUAAUUCUUAACGGUAAAAUUGAUAGUGAUUGAUAUAAUUAUUAAUGUUGUUAUGGGAGAUUUUAGUGCGAAGAUUAGCGAAGUAGAAUAGAAAGAUGUAAUAAGAAAAUAUGGUAUUUUCUUCUGGAUAUGCCUAUCCGAGACUAAUGUUAGCGAUUAUCAUGGCAAUCUUUAUCUUACAUGCAGCAGCGCGAAAAAGCUGCGCAGGUGAUGUGUUGAACCAGAUUCUAGGGUUCUUGGAGCACAUAAUAUCUUGAUUUAUUUCGCAUAAUUUGUUCGAUAAGUAUUAUAACUUUCGAGAUUUGAUGGUGGUGAGUACUUUUCGGUUCUUAUUCAUUCUUCUGAUCACGUCGUCAUUUGUGACUGCCAGGCCACAGGACCUUCAGUAUCCUCCUUAUAGCCUCACCUCAAAUGCUUUUAAUCUUCUGCACAUAUCUUCUUUCAAAGUUCACGAUUCAACACCAUAAAAAAGGAUAGAGAAAACGCAGCAUUGGAGCAUUCCUAUUUAUACCAAGAUUAUGGAAAAACGAAAUGAAAUAAAAGACAGUUUGGCAUCUUACACACUUUUCAACCAAUCUUCCAAAGCGUAGUUUUUACACCUCGAGAUUACCAGCAGAUGCACCUGAAUGAGGGGUUCGUAUCCGAAUAGACAUAAUAUGUAUAAAUAAAAUACAGAAAUUCAGUAUCUAUUAGCAGUCAAAAUAUAUCUAAGUGCAGAUAUUCCAACAGAAAAUAAUAUUUGGGUAUAAAAAAUACGACUGAAUUUGAAAAGGGUUAAAAGAACGAAUAAACAAAUAGCUACUAAUGGUAAAGAAAGAUGUCAAAUGAUAGGGUAAAACACGAACAAACUAGACCAAAAACUAAAGUAAACAUCAAACCAAGGUCAAAGUUCUGAGUAAAACUGGACGACAAUUAAAGUUAUAUUAAACAUCGAUGCAGGCACAAAAAUUAAGUGCAUUAAAAAUAAGAA
rnacentral:lncRNA from 1 species